CGGGCGAUUUGAAAAAUAAUAAUGGAGAGUUUGAUCCUGGCUCAGAACGAACGCUGGCGGCGCGUUUUAAGCAUGCAAGUCGAACGGCAAGGGAAGAGUUUACUUUUCCCCUAGAGUGGCGGACUGGUGAGUAACACGUAGGUUAUCUACCUUUAGGAUGGGGAUAGCUACUAGAAAUAGUAGGUAAUACCGAAUAAGCUUGGCAACAAGGAAAGGGAGCUACGGCUUCGCCUGAAGAAGAGCCUGCGGCCCAUUAGCUGGUUGGUGGGGUAAGAGCCUACCAAGGCGACGAUGGGUAUCCGACCUGAGAGGGUGACCGGACACAUUGGGACUGAGAUACAGCCCAGACUCCUACGGGAGGCAGCAGCUAAGAAUCUUCCGCAAUGGACGCAAGUCUGACGGAGCGACGCCGCGUGAACGAAGAAGGCCGAAAGGUUGUAAAGUUCUUUUGUAUAUGAAGAAUAAGCAGUUUAGGGAAUGAGACUGUGAUGACGGUAAUAUGCGAAUAAGCCCCGGCUAAUUACGUGCCAGCAGCCGCGGUAACACGUGAGGGGCGAGCGUUGUUCGGAAUUAUUGGGCGUAAAGGGCAUGCAGGCGGUUAGAUAAGCCCGAUGUGAAAUACUCAAGCUUAACUUGAGCACUGCAUUAGGUACUGUCUAACUUGAAUCACGGAGGGGAAACUGGAAUUUCAGGUGUAGGGGUGGAAUCUGUAGAUAUCUGAAAGAAUACCGGUGGCGAAGGCGGGUUUCUGGCCGAUGAUUGACGCUGAGAUGCGAAAGUGUGGGGAGCAAACAGGAUUAGAUGCCCUGGUAGUCCACACAGUAAACGAUGUACACUAGGUGUUGGGGCAUGAGCUUCAGUGCCGAAGCAAACGUAUUAAGUGUACCGCCUGGGGAGUAUGCCGGCAACGGUGAAACUCAAAGGAAUUGACGGGGGCCCACACAAGCGGUGGAGCAUGUGGUUUAAUUCGAGGAUACGCGAGAAACCUUACCUGGGUUUGACAU
rnacentral:rRNA from 1 species